rnacentral:misc_RNA from 1 species
UCCGGUUUGUCACCGGCAGUCCCCUUAGAGUUCCCAACCUAAUAAUGGCAACUAAGGGCAAGGGUUGCGCUCGUUGCGGGACUUAACCCAACAUCUCACGACACGAGCUGACGACAGCCAUGCAGCACCUGUGUUCCGGUUCCUUGCGGCACUCCCACAUCUCUGCAGAAUCCCGGACAUGUCAAAACCAGGUAAGGUUCUUCGCGUUGCAUCGAAUUAAACCACAUACUCCACCGCUUGUGCGGGCCCCCGUCAAUUCCUUUGAGUUUCACGCUUGCGCGCAUACUCCCCAGGCGGAUCACUUCACGCGUUAGCUUCGACACUAAGUGGCCAAUUCCACCCAACGUCCAGUGAUCAUCGUUUAGGGCGUGGACUAC